UUAAAACUGCUCCAUCACUGGCUGUAAUGGGAGCGUCUGUAUUUUCUCCCUCGCCUGUAUCCCUGACAUGACAUAAUGCCUGCCCUCACCAAGACGCUAUAACACCAAGGUUGCAAGGCUUUGUUGGGAAGCUUGCUGUGCCAGUCAGAUGUGGCAGCCUAAGGCUCUGCCUAUCCCUGUGGGUCUGAGUUCUUCCAUUGCAAAUGUGUGACAACCAAACACAAGCCACAAAUCAACAUGGGUUUUAGGAGCCUCAGCACUGCAAGAGGCCCCACACAUGUAGCAAUGGACAGGAACUAAAGUAUUUUGUGACCACGAGACUUGGAAGAUCCUCGUGGUUUUGGUCACAGGUAUCUGCUUAGUUACCUCGGCAGGUAUAUGAGGAAGAAAGAAUGAAGACAGCACUAUCAACCUAGAAUUUUACUUGGAAGAUCUGAGAGAAAACAAUCCUUCAUCUUCUGGGACUUGAGUUCUCUCAUAGCCUUGCUGGAAAAGAUCUUUAAACCAAGUGCUUCUGUCUCUACUGAAAUCUCAGAGGGAGAAGAAAAGGAAGAAGAUGAGAGUGCAUUAUGUUUUGAUUGUAGUUCCACAUAAAAGGGCAUUUAUAGCCCAAGCUUCUCUGUUUUGCAGGCUCCAAAUCCCCACAAAUUCAGGGCAGUGUUCUUGAAUUUGCCUACUUAAUGACAAAUACAUAAACUUACUUUGAGAUAAAUUGUCAAGGAAGCCCAUGAAAGCUGGAAGAAGGAACUGGACAAGAGAAGAACUUAAGCUAAUAAUUAUUUGUCUGUUUUAAUUUAAAGUCUUUAAUUCUCCUCCCAGUCGAUUUAUGCACUUCGGAGACUGUGUAUUAUAUACCUAUUUUAAAAAUAAAAUAACCAAGAAACAUAAUUUCCUUUAAUGUUUUGAGGGGAGAAAAAUCCAAGAGGUGAAACCCUGAUGUUCAAGCUGAAUUACUGUUUCUGUUAUUUACGAUGAAGGCCUGUAGUAACCAACAAAGAGGAGCUCUUCAGUGUAUCCAUCACCAUACAAAUGUGGGGUGCAGAUGUUCCCUUCCCCUAUGAGCUCAUUGACUCAACAGACAAGACAAAUUCAGGCUGCAAGAUGGAUCGGUCACACACUCUGUACAGAAGUGGGAGAUCCAGAUAUGCUUUCAGGAAGCUGAGCGUGCAGCUAACCUGCUGAUGGAGUAGUGCAGUCUAAUAGGAUGAUUGAUGAAGCUGGAACAUAAAUACAUGUUUGUUUAUUAUGUCACUACAGCCAUCUUUGUGAAAGGACUGUGUUUUUAAACAUGAAAAACGCCCUGGGAAUGGUCCAAAGAGUAGAAAAGAAAGGAUGGAAACAAGUAGGGAUAAACAAACAACAACAAAAUAAACCACC